GACGAACGCUGGCGGCAUGCCUUACACAUGCAAGUCGAACGGUAACGCGGGGCAACCUGGCGACGAGUGGCGAACGGGUGAGUAAUGUAUCGGAACGUGCCCAGUUGUGGGGGAUAACUGCUCGAAAGAGCAGCUAAUACCGCAUACGACCUGAGGGUGAAAGCGGGGGAUCGCAAGACCUCGCGCAGUUGGAGCGGCCGAUAUCAGAUUAGGUAGUUGGUGGGGUAAAGGCUCACCAAGCCAACGAUCUGUAGCUGGUCUGAGAGGACGACCAGCCACACUGGGACUGAGACACGGCCCAGACUCCUACGGGAGGCAGCAGUGGGGAAUUUUGGACAAUGGGCGCAAGCCUGAUCCAGCCAUGCCGCGUGCGGGAAGAAGGCCUUCGGGUUGUAAACCGCUUUUGUCAGGGAAGAAAAGACUCCUGUUAAUACCGGGGGUUCAUGACGGUACCUGAAGAAUAAGCACCGGCUAACUACGUGCCAGCCGCCGCGGUAAAAC
rnacentral:rRNA from 1 species